GUGGGGAAUAUUGGACAAUGGGCGCAAGCCUGAUCCAGCAAUGCCGCGUGAGUGAUGAAGGCCUUAGGGUUGUAAAGCUCUUUCGCACGCGACGAUGAUGACGGUAGCGUGAGAAGAAGCCCCGGCUAACUUCGUGCCAGCAGCCGCGGUAAUACGAAGGGGGCUAGCGUUGUUCGGAAUUACUGGGCGUAAAGGGCGCGCAGGCGGCCGGCCAAGUCAGAUGUGAAAGCCCCGGGCUCAACCUGGGAUGUGCAUUUGAGACUGGUUGGCUAGAGAUCGGGAGAGGAGAGUGGAAUUCCCAGUGUAGAGGUGAAAUUCGUAGAUAUUGGGAAGAACACCGGUGGCGAAGGCGGCUCUCUGGACCGAUACUGACGCUGAGGCGCGAAAGCGUGGGGAGCAAACAGG
rnacentral:rRNA from 1 species